rnacentral:rRNA from 1 species
UACGAAGGGGGCUAGCGUUGCUCGGAAUCACUGGGCGUAAAGGGUGCGUAGGCGGGUCUUUAAGUCAGGGGUGAAAUCCUGGAGCUCAACUCCAGAACUGCCUUUGAUACUGAGGAUCUUGAGUUCGGGAGAGGUGAGUGGAGCUGCGAGUGUAGAGGUGAAAUUCGUAGAUAUUCGGAGGAACACCAGUGGCGAAGGCGGCUCACUGGUCCAUUACUGACGCUGAGGUGCGAAAGCGUGGGGAGCAAACAGG